GUCGGACAGCGAGGCGCGGACCCUCCUCUGCGUGGCCGGGCUCACCUCCGUCGUGCAGGUCGUCUGCUCUAGAUUGAGGAGUGAUGCACUCGGCGCGUCCUCGCGCUCCUGAGGGGACAACUAAAGACAAAGCAACAAAGCAUUUUGUGUGUCACCUGGCUUUGGGUCCCUGAGCUGUCACUUGGGCUGAGCACGACUCCCUGAGAGGCGGAUCCCAGCGACUGUUCAGAAGCCGAGCCGGCAGGGGAGGGGAGAGAAGCGGCGCGGGAGCGGAGGCUGUCUGUAUCAUCUUCAUCAUCUCCCUCCUCCUGUUCCUCAGGUGUCGGUGGGGAUGUUACGUAGCAGCAGGUACUGCCGCAGCUCUUUGACACGCAACUGCAUGAGGCGUGGCCUUUGGAAGGCGGUGCCGCGCAGGAGGUGGCAGGUGGCGCAACAGCGCAGGUUCUCCUGCAGCACCGAGCACAGCGCGCAGAAGCUCUUCUUGCAGUCGCAGCAUACGUGCUGUCGAGGAAAGGAUACCAUGAGUGACUGUGAGUGAAUGUCAUGAUCUCAAAAGAAAAUUGGCCAAAAUCAUGUUAUUUGUCAAUUUUAAAGAGGCCCUGUCACCUUCAACAGCUCAAACAGCAAUCUCAAAUAUGUUGCUUUUGCAGAUUGGUUUGUGAUGCCACUAAUCCCGCCUUUUUCAAUUUGUGAUGUCAUCAACUCCACCCUCACAAUUUUUAACCCAAUCCCUGCUGAAGUUCAGUAAAAACUACUGCACAGGCACAGCUGGAGAACAACAGCCUCUUUCUUCUCCCAAUAUGAGCCACAGAAAGCCUUGUGGUUGGACUUUAUGUUUGCAUCAAAUAUGCCCAAACAACUACCAACACGUGUGUUAUUUUGUGGCAAACCUUUUAAGGACGACAAUACAACUGUGAAUUAGCUGGACAUCUGUCACUUUCCCCGGAAUAGAUACCAACUCUCAUUGGAACAGCAGAGUUCGAAAGGACGAGGGAUUCGGAACGAAGACUGAUGGCUGCAGACUGCACUCACUGGGUGAAAACGCCUCGCUGGCAAGAUGGCAGUAUUAUUCUUCCCGUGACAGGUCGGCUCAGGGCGACACUCCUUCACACAAAACAGAUGAAACGCUGACAUGCAAACGCGCCGAAGGAGAAAAAAAAUAAAAACAAGACGAGGCUGUCAGCAUUUUGCCAGCUCUCUCGCUCUCUACUGUUAAAGCAAGCCAGUUAAAGGUUGAUUUUAACUUUUCAUUCCACUCAUAAAUUGACUGAGUUUAACUAAUUUGGUUUUAUGCAAUAAUAGAACAAAUAUAUAUUAUAUCCCAAAGCUGACAGAACAAAAGUCCAGUAAAUACAAAUAAAUUCAUAUAGUUUAUUUUGGAAGCAACAGCAGGCAAACAUCACUUUUAUUCUAAAAGCGAAACA